rnacentral:lncRNA from 1 species
CUCUUUGCUCUGACUACCACGUCUGACGGACUGCAUUUCUUUCAUUGCAGGUGCGGAAAUGGCAGGAGGAAAUGAGUUAAAAAUGGCAGAGGUUGUCUUCCUAAACUGCUGACUUUUCCUGGCAGAGUGCAACGCUCUGUUCAGAGGUGAUCUCAAAGGAGAAUGCUCAGGGGGAAUUCAGGGACCAGAGAUUUAAUGACUGCAGUUUUAUAGUCUUCAUCAGACCAUCAAGGCUAUAGUCCAAAGAUAGGAGUUAUCAUCUCCAUGAAUUCUGUCAUCUCAAUCAACCUUCAAGGGAAAAUCAUCGCAAGAAGGCCUCAGGGUGACCGUAUUAGCCUUACCUAUGUGGAGACCUCAUCUUCGCUUAGAGCUAGAAACUUUGGAAAUCUGGAUAAUCCCAUGCUUUUCCUCUGGAACAGGAGAUUUGGAGAAUGCGUAUGUCAGUAGGUAUCUAGGUGGUUUGACUAAAAGGAAGUGGUUGUUUGCACUAGAGAUGAUUAGUCACUUGGAAU